UACGUAGGGUGCAGGCGUUAAUCGGAAUUACUGGGCGUAAAGCGUGCGCAGGCGGCUUCCUAAGUCAGAUGUGAAAUCCCCGGGCUCAACCUGGGAACUGCGUUUGAAACUGGGAGGCUAGAGUGCGGCAGAGGGGGGUGGAAUUCCACGUGUAGCAGUGAAAUGCGUAGAUAUGUGGAGGAACACCGAUGGCGAAGGCAGCCCCCUGGGUCAACACUGACGCUCAUGCACGAAAGCGUGGGGAGCAAACAGG
rnacentral:rRNA from 1 species